ensembl:lncRNA novel transcript, antisense to PPP1R16A
AGUGGUCACGCGCCUGGCCCAGUGCACGGUGAAGCUCGGCCACGUCCAGCGCCCAGGCACGCUCCUCGUCCAGGGAUGCCUCCGUCACGCCUCUCAAUGUACCGCGCCACGUCCUCCCGGAUCAGCUGGAUGCCGGAGCUGACGCUGUAGGCCCCUGGACUCGGGCAGGACAGGAUGGGAAGUACAGAUGCCUGGAGCAAAGGGGAAGGGAGGAGGCUCAUGGACCCUCCCUGCUCAGAGUUCCCCCCGCUCUACGUCCCUCUGUGUUAAAGGACACAGGCAGGGUCAGCAAAGGUGAAGGCGGGAACACAGGAGGCCGAGAGCCACAGAUACUGCCCAAGAGGAGCCUCCUGAGCGGCCAUCUGAGAGGAAGCCUCUCCCUGCCAAGGACGCCCAACAGGCCCUACCUGGCGAUGAGCAGCUCCACCAGGUGCAGGUGGCCGCAGGUGGCCGCAGCAUGCAGAGGCGUCCAGCACUCACUGUCACAGGCAUUGAUGUUGGCCCCAGCCUCCAGGAGCUGCUGCACCAUCUCUCGGAAAUCAUCAAUGCAGCACUG